rnacentral:rRNA from 1 species
GAUGAAUGCUGGCGGCGUGCCUAAUACAUGCAAGUAGAACGCUGAAGGAGGAGCUUGCUCUUCUGGAUGAGUUGCGAACGGGUGAGUAACGCGUAGGUAACCUGCCUGGUAGCGGGGGAUAACUAUUGGAAACGAUAGCUAAUACCGCAUGACAACAGUUAUUGCAUGAUAACUGUUUAAAAGGGGCAACUGCUCCACUACCAGAUGGACCUGCGUUGUAUUAGCUAGUUGGUGAGGUAACGGCUCACCAAGGCGACGAUACAUAGCCGACCUGAGAGGGUGAUCGGCCACACUGGGACUGAGACACGGCCCAGACUCCUACGGGAGGCAGCAGUAGGGAAUCUUCGGCAAUGGACGGAAGUCUGACCGAGCAACGCCGCGUGAGUGAAGAAGGGUUUCGGAUCGUAAAGCUCUGUUGUAAGAGAAGAACGAGUGUGAGAGUGCAAAGUUCACACUGUGACGGUAUCUUACCAGAAAGGGACGGCUAACUACGUG